GGGAUAACAUUGAUGUUUGAAAAAAAUAAAAAGUUUGGUCACUUCAUUUGCACUUGACUUAUCACGGUGUGGGUCACGAUGGCAACUGAGUUGAGCAAACCAGGACAUCCUGUACUCAUCAACUUCUUUCAAAUCCUCCUGGUCAAUUCACAGAUGCUUCCACAUCCACCAUGGGCUAUAAUCCUACCAGCAUAUCCUUAGUCUUCUCCUAGUGGGCCUUGUUUGGUCACACUUUCAAAAGUACACAUUCCCAGUGCAUUUACAUUGGUUCCUGUCUAUCUGGGGAAGUAAUGCUUCUAUUCUGGGUUUCUCCAGGGGACAAUUAUCAUACUUAUACAGGGAUAAGGAGAACAGUUCUAAAUAAGAGGCAGAGGUACAAAUAAGUAUUCCUACUUAUUAACUUAACAUGAUAAAUUAACUUACUUAACCUGAGAAGAUUCACAACAGAAUAACAAAUUAGUUAAAAACUGUAAUUAACAUUUUGUGGACUAAUUUUUUAUAGAAAUGCUAUACUGGUUUGAUAAGUUUCACUAGCAUAAAUUUGGGGCAGAAACAGGUAGCCAAAAAGACAGACAUACUAAGGACCCCAUGUGGUUGAAGAAUGUUGUUCAAAUCAAUGUCUGUUUUUAAUUGGACUCCUAGCCUAAAUAAGCAACCUGUAAUUUCUCGGUUCUAUGUUUUGGAGUCAAUGUAGAAAUUAAAAAACUUAAGUUUGGUAAAUUUUUGUUAGAAUAUCCCAAACAAUAUGUAUGUUAUAUGGGGAUAACUUCGGGCAUUUUAACUUGUUUUUAUAGAUCUUCAACAUUAUAAUCAUUAUGAUUUU